rnacentral:rRNA from 1 species
UUGACCUCGGAUCAGGCAAGAAUACCCGC